AGGAGCAUGUAAUAUAUACAUACGUGUUAUAUACGUAGUGUGAUGUUUUGAUUUCUUAUAUUCCUUUGUUGAAGGCAUUCUUAAUCUUCGUAAAUUGACUACAAUUUUAGUCAGUGUGUCACAGCUCCGCUAUGUGGUAAAAUCGUUCUCGCUUUUGCUUUCGAAACAAAAUAAUUUAUACAGUUAAUAUGCAUUUGCACGAGUUUCUAAAUAUAACACACGAUUUCAAUGCUCUGUGGAAUUAUUUGUGUGAAAAGGAAGUAGUCCAAACAACUAUUACAAAGUUAUAAAAGGACGAAAACGACGAAGAGUAAAGUGUAAUUUCAAACUCAGUGCUCUUCACUUUGGAACUUGGUUUGCACGAAUACAUGUGGAUUUAUCAAAAAUUCGUCGUUUUAUUGCAUAUUUUUUGCUGUAACAGUCGCCGAAAUAUAAAUUCCUAAAAAAUGAAUUGGAAUUGAACGACAGCGCUGCAGUCGAUUGGACGAAUUUUUGUCGAGAAUUGCUUCAACAAUGGGUUUUAUCUAAGCAAGAAUCCAAUUGGUUGGAACAAACAAGAUGGUAGAAAUAGACGAAGCAAAAAUAGGCAAACGAAAAUAUAAUACUGGACGCAUAAUACGAGGACAAAGUGGGUUUUUCGAGGUAUUGAACAUAAUACGAAGAAAGUUUUCAUUCUACCUGUACCGGAUAGAAGUGCUGAGACCUUAUUGUCAAUUAUACGAAAAUACGUCGCUCCUGGCUCUAUUGUUUAUUCGGAUAAAUGACGUGCCUACGAUGCCCUAUCCAACGACAAAAACUACACACAUGAAACCGUAAAUCAUUCAGUUAAUUUUGCGAAUCCAGAAACAGGUGUUCACACACAAGAUAUAGAAAGAUUAUGGAGAGAUAUGAGAGCAAAUAUUCCUCGCUAGGGCACGCGCGAUUAUCACUUCGCACAUUAUUCGGCAGAAUUUUUAUUUAAAAGAGUACACAAUUUUGAUAUACGCGUUGAUACUUUCUUUAAAAUAAUGAGUUUAAUGUAUCCCUUAAAUGAUCCAAGUGAUGAAUAAAUUUUUUUGCGCAUACAUCCACUAUGUGUCUUACUGCAUCUUUAUAUAUUAUUGGGCGUUGUUGAAAAGAUUAAAACCGUUAAAACCGUUAGUACGUACGUUAAGUGCAGAAACUCGUGAGGUAACAUCUUAAGCACGUCAAAGAGAAGCCUCUUCUCUCAUAUGUGUAAAGUUUAUCCAAGUACACCUAAAUGUACACUGCGUCGGAAAAGUCUACGUUCUACUAAUGAAACCUCUUUUGUUAACAACUUUUUAAUAAACGAUGACCGCCGACUAA